AGCCGGGGUUCGUUUACCAGGUACUGUCAUUAUCAUCCCUGGCGAAAGAGCUUUACGACCCUAGGGCCUUCAUCACUCACGCGGCAUGGCUAGAUCAGGCUUUCGCCCAUUGUCUAAGAUUCCCCCA
rnacentral:rRNA from 1 species